GUCUGGAAAGCUGGCGAGGACGGAACAGUAGGAGGAGGAGGAGGAACAGGAACCAGAUCAAGCACAAUCACAGUCUCUUCUUGGCUUUGUGAUGAGAGAUGAGGAAAACCCAACACAGCAUGUCGGCCCAUCACCAAGACCACAGAGAAACAAGAGGCAAAAAGAGGUGGCUUCAUUUAGAUCUGGAAAGUACAUGUGGAGCAAAUUCUCAACAGGAGAAACACAAAGAUGUUGAAUGUCAGGCUUGCGUAGUCUAUUUUAUCGACCCAACCAACUUUCAGGUAGUCUUAUCCAUCAGUAGAUGUCUUCUCACCUUAUAGUUAUAAUUUCUACAUAGGGUUCUGUCUUAAUUUGUUGGUGAGUUCUUGUUUUUGUCAGAGCCACCUGGAGUUUAACCGAGUCAGGACUGGUUGCCUCCCCUCACCUCCUAGGAGCCGCCUCACCCUGACCAUGAGCUGAUCUUCAUGCACAGACGCUGGUUAGACGAAGGCUCAGCUCAGGCUGUACUUCUUGAUUCACCACAGGCUGUACUCUCUUCAAAUCCUUCCAAAUAAGCUGCUGGUCUUCUUCUACACUGCUGUUGCCCGGUCUGUCUCAAACACAUCCAUCACUGUGGGGUUUGGUUUAGGCUUGGGAUCUGAAAAAGGGUUAGCAGACAUGUCUGCAGACCCCACACAUCCUGGACACAAACUGUGUGAACCUUCAGGCCUGCGCUUCAGAGCGCUAUUUGCAACAACCAGCUGCCACAGAGACAGUUUCUCCCCUCAGGCUGCCUCUGAUGAGCAUCCUGCAGCCUGAACAGUCAGCUGCUCUGCUGUAAAACAAAAUAAGCAUUUUGGAACUGAACAAACCUUCUGUUUUUCUUUCUUUAUGUACAAAAAUGCCAUCAAACACACAAACACUUUGUCCCUUUAUUCGUAUUUCCUCUCAGGUUUACAUAUUUAUACUUCAUGUUCGUGUGCUGAGUGUUUGGAAACCAAAAACAAAUUCCUUUUUUGUGCACACAAUCUUGGUCAAUAAAGCCGAUUUUGAUUGUGGUUUCA